GCCCUCGUAGCUCAAUUGGUAGAGCAUCGCCCUUUUAAGGCGUUGGUUUCCGGUCCGAGUCCGGACGGGGGCA
rnacentral:tRNA from 1 species